rfam:Glycine soja cultivar W05 scaffold1588_17, whole genome shotgun sequence.
GAGUGUUAUAUCAUCACACCUAAUCACUGACACAUCAUUGUCACAUCAUUGAAGGUGAUGACAUGUAAUGACGUGUCAGUAAUAAGGCGUGAUGACAUGGCACUUCGU